CACGGGCAGGGCAACCUGUCAGUGGCGGACGGGUGAGUAACGCGUAGGAAUCUAUCCUUGGGUGGGGGACAACCGUGGGAAACUACGGCUAAUACCGCAUGAUCCCUGAGGGGCAAAGGCGAAAGUCGCCUGAGGAGGAGCCUGCGUCUGAUUAGGUAGUUGGUGGGGUAAAGGCCUACCAAGCCUGCGAUCAGUAGCUGGUCUGAGAGGAUGAUCAGCCACACUGGGACUGAGACACGGCCCAGACUCCUACGGGAGGCAGCAGUGGGGAAUAUUGGACAAUGGGCGAAAGCCUGAUCCAGCAAUGCCGCGUGGAUGAAGAAGGUCUUCGGAUUGUAAAGUCCUUUUGGCGGGGACGAUGAUGACGGUACCCGCAGAAUAAGCUCCGGCUAACUUCGUGCCAGCAGCCGCGGUAAUACGAAGGGGGCUAGCGUUGCUCUGAAUGACUGGGCGUAAAGGGCGCGUAGGCGGACGGCACAGUCAGGCGUGAAAUUCCUGGGCUUCAACCUGGGGACUGCGUCUGAGACGUGUUGUCUUGAGUAUGGAAGAGGGUUGUGGAAU
rnacentral:rRNA from 1 species